ACCUGUGCUAUAACGAGAUAUACUGUGUGUGUUCCAAUGAAGACAUUGGAUGCUCCAGCUAUCAGUGAGGCCCUUAUCCAGCGCGUAUUUUGCUGUUAUGGCAUCCCAGAUGUCCUAGUUACAGAUGCCCAGUCGUCGUUGAUAGUUGCAGGAACACCAGCAGAAAACCCAGAAUGAGAAGAUCUCACAACGAUUGUCAAAGAGUCCAACAUAUGCCCAAGGACAGCUUAUUUAUUUGCAUAAACCCAGCAGUUCUAGUCUUACAUCCAAUGCUAAGAAGUUCACUGCUAACACAGGGCCAGCCCAUCGAUCUGUCGGUGCACAAGGAGAAUCUAGAGGUGAAUAAUGGGUUUGCCGCCCCGGUUCCUAUGUCAAGGGAGCAACAGGUGCGCUUGGUGCAGAAAUUGCAGAUGGCGCCUCCGUCUCACACAGACUAUACUGUUGUCAGAGCCAAGUUUCGAGCAGGACAAUUGCGAAUUUUGUUGUCUCUUCCAUUGCAGUCUGGUAUUUUCAGGUUCUGGUGGGAUCCUCACAGUGUACGAAACUGUGCCGAGGUUG